rnacentral:lncRNA from 1 species
AGGAGGAUUCCCCGAAUACCUAAAAUAGAGAUGAUCAUAGAAAAAGUAAAAUAUUUUAUAGGAUCCGUUUCGGAAACAUGGAAUGUCAGAGAAAUUCUAAUUAUGUGAGGCUUAGAAAGAAGUCCUGCGUAGAGUCCAGGGAGAGCCUAUUUUUCUUUGGUCAGAUGUAUGAGUGAAACUAGCCCUCGCCAUCAUCAUCGAUGAUGAAAAAACGAGGUAAUUCCCCAUUACGUACUCUCUUUUCUGUCUUGACCCACUCAACCACGCGAAAGUAGUACCGAGAGCUGUGCCCAUGUCGGACGAGGCCUUGCUCCACAAGCCAUAACUUAUCAGGGUCGUGGAGGUCCGAAUCUUUGUGGAGGAGAGUCGAGGCCACGAGAUCCGUGGUGCUUUCGUCCGCAAAGUGGUAGCUCAAGACCGCGGUAGCAUCGAGGUCUCUUAAAAAAGCGCCGAUGCGUUGGUGGUAAUUAAGGACUAGGGCUAGCCGUUCUUCCUCCCCCAUUGUAAGCGGUCGUCCUUCGGGCAGAUUUACAGGAGCCUGACCUCCCUGCGGGAGAUACGGGGCCACGGCGCGGGACAGGUCGUCAUCGCCCAUCAUAUUCAUACCACCUCCUAACAUCAUCAUAUUCAUAUCACCUAACAUAGAAACACUCGCUUUCCCAUAUGAGCAAGCGAAUCCGAGUCCUUCCGUCGACUCGAAAGGAUCGAACAAGUUCCAGAGAAGAAGAAUUAAUCUGAGCGUUAUCAAGGAGAACCAUAGCCAGAAUAUCAUUUUAUUUAUUUGGAAUGGAAAAAUAAAGCGCACCCAAAUAAAUAUUUGGGUUAAAAACAAAGUCACUCUUCUAUCCUUCAUAUCCGUAGAAAAAAAUCUCAUAUGUAAACCCCCCUUCACCCCCAUCCCCUAAAGUGGUAAAGAAGGAGGCUCUUUUUUGUCUCAUUAGGACAAACAAAUAGGAAGGGAUAGUUCUUUCAUUGCAUUGAUAGAAGUCAAACUUCUAUCAAAAGAUCUCUCUAUUAUUUAGAGAAAAGAGUUGGCGUGGGUUCUACCAACGAAACGAAUCAGUUUUGGAUUGAAAAACACAACAUUGCACAAUGAUCCGAUUCCAGCCUAUCAAAAGCCAAUUUCUUUAUUUAGAACUUCAAUCCUCACUAGAGCACUGAACAUUUGUUUAAUCUCCUAAAGUGGUGUUGCUACCUCAAUCUGUCCAUGCGUGGAUUCGCUGGCUCUGUUUGAAGCUUCGAACCUGUAUUGAGCUUUCUUCCUUCGUAUCGUAUUUCAGCGGAUCGGGUAGUUCCGGUUGCAGUCCCAGGGCUUUCAAUUACUACUAUUUACGAGGUUUUUCGUUCUACUGAAAACCUGCUGGCCGCUCGAGGAUCGAAUCCGGACGGGACUAGACCAAGCCAUGCACUCCUUUCUAUAUGUUAAUUUGAAUUCCCGAUUCAAAUGAAUAGCCGCUGCAUAAACAACUCUAGCUCUAACUCAAGAAAAGAACUACAAAGAACAAAAGAUUCUUUUCUCCUCUGCGAAGUAACAACAAGUGAAAUUAGCUCCCUGUCGGUGAUAUAACUCACCAAUACUUUAAGAUCGUCAAUAGCACACUACCUCUCCAAGGCAGUGCACUAUUUCCUCAACAAAAGAGAAGAAGUAAACGAUUACCAGGUUGUAAGCACUUUGAGAUAUUGGCCUUCGGCUUAAGAUAGUUACUUGACUUAAAAGCAUUCUCGAGAUCCUUAUUCUUUAAGGAACAAGAAGAGAUUGUCUACCUCGGUAAUGGAAAGAUAAGAAUGAUUGUGAAUAGCCCCCCCAGUCGUGAGGGACUGAUUCUCUAUAAUCAUAUCAACUUUCACCCUUACCUUAAAGAAGAAAAGAAAACAUAACUCUCUCUCCUGUAAGGAACAAGAAAAACAAGAUUAGUAUUUAUUCCCGAAGGGAAAUCAAGAGUGCAUUUCCUCCUGAUUGUCUACCUUUUCAGAGGCAAAAGUAGUUGAUCACUUAUACGAGAUUCUUAAAUGAUUGUUAUCUCUAGGCACAUCUUAUGGGCGGCGUCUUUUCCUCCGGAGAAGCUGUCGAAGCGAUAGCCAUGUCUUAUCCUUUCUCGAGCAAGGUAUUAUUAGUUUUUUCAGGAAUUAGACCUGCUGCCUCUGCCUCUGGCUUAACCCUUCCCCUAGAAGUAUGUGCCCUUACCAAUAACUCCCUGACUCUCUCUAACCACUGUCCUCAGCCUGCAGUACUGAAGUUCCCGAUUUAUUUAUCUUUCGAUUCCUGGCUCAAGUCAUCUUCUUUUCUUUUUGAAACAAUUCUCUAUAGCUGGUCUGCCCACUGGCCUAUCCUACUUUGGUUAAGGUGAUUGGAGAUUGCUCAAUCUGAAAAGGAAAACAUUCGAUCCUUGCAAUAAAAAAGGACAUGAAUUGGAAUGAAAAAGAAAUGAUUACUGAAACUUUCAGAGAGAUGGAGGAAAAACAAUCGGUUUAAGCAAGAGCUUUCAAGUUGAGAAAGAAGAAGGGCCGAAGGCUUUGACAUUCAAUCAACGGAGUUGUUUUCUAUAGCGCCUUCCCGAAAGCCUAAACCAGAAAAGAGGAUGGUCCCGUAUUAGCCAAAAGCAUGCAAUAUCAGGAACUUCCAUCCAGGCAAGCGUUACGAAAAAGGGUCCAUUGGAUACUGACAGCGAUAGAUGGUACCCGAAAGAAAGGCACAGAAUGAGUCGACAAAAGGUUCUCAAUUGCCGCACCCUGUGGUGCAUAAACGAGCUGGCAGGCUCGUCGUUGAGACAGUGAUUCUUUCAUGGCAAUCCCUUAAGUCAACCACUCUAGCAUAUCGAUUUUGAAUUCAAGUUUCUCGAACAAUCUAUUCAACAUUUUAAGAUCUCGCAAAAAGGAAAUAAAACAUGGGUAUCGAACAAAGAAAUCAGCUAUGUUAGUUGCCUUUCGGCGCCCACUUGACUGCUCACAGGCUUUGACCUAGGAUAAAAGAAAAGGGAUACUGUGUAUGAAUCACUCACCUAUUAUUCCGAAUUCUUAGUCUUGACGUAUGGUCAAGUAGUUCGGGGUGGGAUCAGAUGUUGCUAGUUCACAAGUCUCGGGCUUACUACUGAAUCCAGAGCAAGAGCAAGAAUCGAACCAACCUUUCGAACUGAGUUAACGGAGUCGUUUCCGUAGUAUUCAAGUAAAGAAGCUGGGGAGACAGGACUUCGGAUUGCAUGAUUGGGGGGGGAUCUGGCCGAUGAAGAUAAAGUAUUUGAUGAUUGGAUUCAAGAUUCGUAAACCAUCAAAGCAAGGCUCCUUCGCCCGCCUGGUGAUACUUAGCUUCUGCUAUGGCAUCUUUAUCACUACCGAAAGCUCGUGCAUACAAAGAUUCAAGAAACGUUAGAGGUCAAGCCUUUUGCUAUGGCCUUGGAGCGGUAAACGACAGAGUUGAAGGAGUUGUUAAAGAGGGCUCCUGUUCUUGCGCGUUCUUCCCCGGAUCCUUCUCACAGGUGUGAAUCCUUGCACUCAGCUUCUCGUUGGGUUCCACCGCCGGAAGGUACGGUCUACAUCAAUGUUGAUGCAGCGCUGUUUAUUUCUACUCGACGCAUGGGAAUCGGUGUCGUGAUCAGGGACCACAGAGGAACCCGCUUGGCUACGUGCAGCGAGCAUCUUACUGAGUGAGGUCACGGCACCAGAACUAGCUGAAGCCUUGGCAGUGCGCCGGGCAAUGGCCCUUGCUCGGGAUGAAGGUUUUUUUGGUCACAUUAUUCUGGCAACAGAUUGUCUCUCGGUGGUAUAACAACCCCGUACGGCGUAACAAACAGUAGCUUGAUUUCACUGAAUGCUUUUGUGAAACAGAUAGAUAGCUGAGCAAGCAAUCCUCCCCUGAACUGUCUCACAAAAUACGACUGAGCAGGGCCAGAGACCCCUAGUCUAUAAGAGUAGGUGAGAAAUGUGCAUUAGGGUAAGAAAGAAGUAAAACAUGGAUGACAUUUUUGGAUUCUAAGAAAAUACUGCUGGGAAAGCAGAAGUCUUAAGCCAUAUUACCUCAACCAUUGCUCAAUAGCUGGGUCUACGACCCGGUAACCUGAGACGACCGUUCUAAGAUCUUAGCCUUUCAACUCAACCAGAUUAGCCUUUUUAUUGAACUACGUUCCCUUUCACUCCCUCAACGGCGCAUUGAGGAAGACAGCAAUCCAACUCGAUCAUCAGAACAGUUAGGUUUUAAACACAAGGCGGAUGACGACAAGUUAGCAUACGGGAAAGAUACCUGUGGAAGGCCCAUAUCAUGUAUUCUAUACCAGUGAGUUGAAGUAUCAUAUCCCUUCCUUUCAAAACUGGCAUCUUUUUCAACUCUUGAGAAAAGGUAAGAUUCGAUAGAACGCAGUAACCCAGAGGAAGUCAAGAGCUCACAGUAACCUAAAGCUGCCAAUAGCAAAAGAUAGAGGAGGAAUAGUUUCUCAUGCCGAGAUAAAAAACUCAAGCGCCAUCCGUUUCCUAUUUGAUUUCAGAACAGCGGAAUAUCAUCACCCGUGGUUCACUUGAGCAUGAAUAGAGUUCGGUCUCCUUAUGAAUUCNNNNNNNNNNNNNNNNNNNNNNNNNNNNNNNNNNNNNNNNNNNNNNNNNNNNNNNNNNNNNNNNNNNNNNNNNNNNNNNNNNNNNNNNNNNNNNNNNNNNAGAUGGACAUCACCAUGCUAGGUCUUCGUGCGCGUAGGAAAAUUUUUGUUUCCCAUGCGACGUUCCCCAACAGUGGCAUCAUGAGCUAGGUUCAUGCGUAGAUGUCUUCUCGAGUAGAACACAAAAUUUUUUGUGGGCGGUGAUGUGCGUUUUGCUGCCCUCCUUAGUCUUUUCUUGAUUCCGCGGUAUUGUUGGAUUGAAGCGGCUUGGACCGACAUUACUCGUACGCUUACGAGAGACUGGUUUCAUCGUUACGAGUAACCCCCUUUGCUCAAAGAUGACUGGCAAGUGACGGUUUCUCCAACUUUAGUUGAAUCGGAUUUGACCAAGGAGGUCCUUGGAUGAGGUUAAAUAGCAACUCAUAGAUCUCCGUUGUGGUGUUUGCGUAAGUAAGAUGCGAUCCUACUAGAUACCCUUGGUCACCACGUAAAACAUGCAACAACAAAAUUAGAGGACGUCUAACUUGGUUUUGCAGGGUAUGAUUGUGACGUGAUAUGGCCAACAAUGUGAUGUGAUAUAUUGGAUGUAUGAGAUGAUCAUGUUGUAAUAGAAAUAUCGACUUGCACGUCGAUGGUACGGCAACCGGCAGGAGCCAUAGGGUUGUCUUUAUAACUAACGUUUGUGCUUGCAGAUGCGUUUACUAUUUUGCUAGGACGUAGCUUUAGUAGUAAUAGCAUGAGUAGCACGACAACCCCGAUGGCGACACAUUGAUGGAGAUCAUGAUGAUGGAGAUCAUGGUGUGACGCCGGUGACAAGAAGAUCGUGCUGGUGCUUUGGUGAUGGAGAUCUAGAAGCACGUGAUGAUGGCCAUAUCAUGUCACUUAUAAAUUGCAUGUGAUGUUAAUCCUUUUAUGCACCUUAUUUUGCUUAGAACGACGGUAGCAUUAUGAGGUGAUCUCUCACUAAAAUUUCAAGACGAAAUUGUGUUCUCCCCGACUGUGCACCGUUGCUACAGUUCUUCGUUUCGAGACACCACAUGAUGAUCGGGUGUGAUAGACCCAACGUUCACAUACAACGGGUGCAAAACAGUUGCGCACGCGGAACACUCGGGUUAAGCUUGACGAGCCUAGCAUGUGCAGACAUGGCCUCGGAACACAUGAGACCGAAAGGUCGAGCAUGAAUCGUAUAGUUGAUAUGAUUAGCAUAGAGAUGCUUACCACUGAAACUAUUCUCGACUCACGUGAUGAUCGGACUUGAGAUAGUGGAUUUGGAUCAUGUACCACUCAAAUGACUAGAGAGAUGUACUUUUUGAGUGGGAGUUCUUAAGUAAUAUGAUUAAUUGAACUAAUUGUCAUGAACAUAGUCUAAUGGUCUUUGCGAAUUACGAUGUAGCUUGCGCUAUAGCUCUACUGUUUUUAUAUGUUCCUAGAGAAAAUUUAGUUGAAAGUUGAUAGUAGCAAACUUUGCAGACUGAGUCUGUAAAACCNNNNNNNNNNNNNNNNNNNNNNNNNNNNNNNNNNNNNNNNNNNNNNNNNNNNNNNNNNNNNNNNNNNNNNNNNNNNNNNNNNNNNNNNNNNNNNNNNNNNGCAUGAAAAAGGAGCAAGUUUGAGAUAUCUAUUCUGCGCAACUCCAAAAGCCGUGAAAGUCAACGAGGAUUUAUUUUGGAAUUUAUAAAAAAUACUGGGCCAAAGAAGUACCACAGGGGUGCCAGCAGGAAGCCACAAGCCUCCUAGGCGCGGCCUCCCCCUAGCCGCACCUAGGGGGCUUGUGGGCUCCCAGCUGGCCCUUUGGCUCCCCUCUUUUGCUACAAGAAGGGUUUCGUUCCAGAAAAAAUCAAGGGGAGGCUUUCGGGAGGAAUCUCCGCCGCCACAAGGCGGAACUUGAGCGGAACCAAUCUAGAGCUCCGGCAGGACGAUCCUGCCGGGGAAACUUCCCUCCCGGAGGGGGAAAUCGUCGCCAUCGUCAUCACCAACACUCCUCUCAUCGGAGGGGACUCAUCACCAUCACCAUCUUCAUCAGCACCAUCUCAUCUCCAAACCCUAGUUCAUCUCUUGUAACCAAUCUCCAUCUCACGACUCCGAUUGGUACUUGUAAGGUUGCUAGUAGUGUUAAUUACUCUUUGUAGUUGAUGCUAGUGGGAUUACUUGGUGGAAGAUUAUAUGUUCAGAUCCUUGAUGCUACUCAUUACCUCUCUGGUCAUGAAUAUGAUUAUGUUUUGGGAGUAGUCACUUUUGUUCCUGAGGACAUGGGAUAAGUCAUGCUAUAAGUAGUCAUGUGAAUUUGGUANNNNNNNNNNNNNNNNNNNNNNNNNNNNNNNNNNNNNNNNNNNNNNNNNNNNNNNNNNNNNNNNNNNNNNNNNNNNNNNNNNNNNNNNNNNNNNNNNNNNCUCGCCGUAGCUAAGGCUCUGCCCAUCCUUUCGUACCCCAUACAUCUACUAUCAGACUUAUACCCAUGACAGUUGGCGCCCAUCGUGGGGCAGGCGUCUAAGCGACUUCCGGCGAGUUUGCGAUUUCAUACUUUCGUCAUGUCGUCCGGUGGAGAUCUGUGCAUGGGUCGUCAGAUCCUUUUCGCUGCCCUCUCCUUCAUCGCCGAUGAUUCGGCAUGGCUUCGGGAUGCGCCCCUCGACGUCGAGGCGCUUCUCAGUCGCGGGGCUACGCACUUCUGUGCCAGUUCCCACGGUGUUCUUCUUCUCCAGCCAUCGACCCCGGUGUCGAUCUUCGCCCCCGUCACACGCCGCAACAAGCGAUCCCGUCGUCCGCGGCUCCAGCGUUGGGUGCGACACGCCCAGGCGCGACAGAGCGCGUCCUCUCAAGUGGCGGUGCUCGAAUCGGNNNNNNNNNNNNNNNNNNNNNNNNNNNNNNNNNNNNNNNNNNNNNNNNNNNNNNNNNNNNNNNNGCUUGGACUCAGUUCCAAAACUGAGCUACCUUCCGAGUACCCGGGUCGCGGCCCUGCAGCCGAAGUUCUCAUGGCCGAUUCCCAUGAAAGUCCCCUCCGGACUGGUCAGAACGAGCAUGAGGUCGGAGAAUCAUCCGACGCUCGUCGUCAACACCACCAUUCUGCUAGUCGACGCACUCGCUAGAGCAACGUCAAGGUGUUCCGCACACCCAUCCUCAACCUGGCUGCGGCUGCCAGGAUAGCCGAUUCUCUCCAGCCGACUGAUUCGGNNNNNNNNNNNNNNNNNNNNNNNNNNNNNNNNNNNNNNNNNNNNNNNNNNNNNNNNNNNNNNNNNNNNNNNNNNNNNNNNNNNNNNNNNNNNNNNNNNNNGUUCAAAGAAGCCAGCUUCCGAGUCCGCAUUCCAGUCGGCGGGAGACACGAAGAAAGUCAGCAUCCACCUGACGGACGACGCCGCUGCCCCGACAAACAUCUCCACCACCCUUGAUCCAAAAUAGGAAGCCGAGCUCAUCCAAUUCCCCCGUGAGAACUGGGACAUUUUUGCAUGGAAGCCUGCUGACAUGCCAGGUGUACCCAGGAAGUUGGCUGAGCACCGACUGCAUGUGGAUCCUGCUGCUCGGCCCAUCCGAGAACGCCUGCGUCGGUCCGCCGCGCACAAGAGGAAGGCAAUCGGAGAGGAGGUGGCUAAACUUUUGGCAGCCAACUUCAUUCGCGAGGUACACCACUCCGAGUGGCUCGCUAAUGUUGUCAUGGUGCCUAGGAAGGACAAGUCUCUCCGUAUGUGCAUCGAUUUCAAGCAUCUCAAUAAGGUCUGUCCGAAAGAUCACUUCCCGCUCCCCCGCAUUGAUCAAAUUGUUGAUUCGACUGCGGGUUGCGAGCGUUUAUCCUUCCUUGAUGCCUAUUCGGGCUAUCAUCAGAUCGUCUAUAUGGUCCGGAUGAAUUAAAAACAGCCUUCAUCACCCCAUUCGGGUGUUUCUGUUACAUCACUAUGCCAUUCGGUUUGAAGAAUGCAGGAGCAACUUUUAUGCGCAUGAUCCAAAAAUGCCUCCUUGACCAGAUCGGUCGAAAUGUGGAGGCAUAUAUGGACGAUAUCGUAGUCAAGUCACGCAAAGGUUCCGACCUGCUGACUGACUUGGCAGAAACAUUCGCCAACCUACGUAGGUACGAUAUUAAGCUCAAUCCAGCCAAGUGUUCAUUCGGCGUUCCCAGCGGGAAGUUACUCGGUUUCUUCGUUUCCGAAUGAGGGAUUGAUGUCAACCCCGAAAAGAUCGGGACCAUUGUCCGAAUGGAGCGGUCGGUAAGAAUACAUGAUGUUCAAAGGCUCACAGGUUGCCUAGCGGCUUUGAGCAGGUUUAUCGCUCGACUCGGCGAGAAGGCGUUACCUCUGUACCGACUCAUGAAGAAGUCAGAUACCUUCGAGUGGACAGACGAAGCCCAAAUUGCAUUCGACGACCUCAAAGCCGUGCUUUCCGCCCAGCCGGUUCUUACUGCCCCGCUCAGUAAAGAACCCCUUCUUUUGUACAUCGCGGCUACAAAUCAAGUCGUUAGCAUCGUUCUAACAGUCGAGCGCGAAGAAGAAGGCAAAGCGUACAAGGUUCAGCGGCCAGUAUAUUAUGUCUCCGAAGUCCUGACUCCUUCCAAGCAGAGGUAUCCCCAUUAUCAGAAGCUUAUUUAUGAGAUCUACAUGACUGCAAAGAAGGUGGCUCACUAUUUCCAAGACCACUCAGUGUCUGUCAUAUCUGAUGCUCCGUUGUCGGAAAUUCUCCACAAUCGGGACGCAUCAGGCCGAGUGGCAAAGUGGGCAAUGGAGAUGCUAUACUGCGACAUCAAGUUCGAAGCCAAGAAAGCUAUAAAGUCUCAAGCUCUGGCUGACUUCAUAGCAGAAUGAGUAGAACAACAACAACCGACUCACAUCUACUCGGCUCAUUGGACCAUGUUCUUCGAUGGGUCCAAGAUGUUGAAUGGCUCCGGUGCCGGCGUAGUGAUCAUAUCCCCAAAAGGUGAUAAACUCAAGUAUGUGUUGCAGAUCCAUUUUGAUUCUUCCAACAACGAAGCAGAGUACGAAGCUCUCCUUUACAGGUUGCGCAUGGCCAUCACACUCGGCGUCCGUCGCCUGAUGGUCUAUGGCGACUCAGAUCUGGUGGUUAAUCAAGUGAUGAAGGAAUGGGAUGUAAGGAACCCCACCAUGACUGCAUACUGCAACGCAGUAAGGAAGCUUGAGAAGAAGUUCGAAGGUCUGGAACUUCACCAUGUUCCCCGACUAAAAAACCAAGCAACAGAUGAAUUGGCAAAACAUGGAUCCACUCGGAGACCGGUCCCGAGUGAUGUCUGCCUCGAGCACCUACACCUCCCCUCGGUGAAGGAAGAUCCUUUUAUAGAGGAGCCAGUACAACCGAAGAGCUCAACAGAUCCGACUGAAGUCGAGGUCCCCGCUGUGGUUGAUUUGACCAUGGAGAUUCUCGCUGUCAUCCCCGAGUGGACUGUGUCGUUCAUUGCGUACAUCAUGAGGCAAGAAUUACCAGAAGACGAAGUCCAAGCUAGGCAGAUCGUUCGCAGGUCUAAGUCCUUCACCGUCAUUGAUGACCAGUUAUACAGGAAAAGUGUUUCGGGCGUCCUUCAGCGGUGUAUCUCUCCUGAGGAGGGACAGUUAAUCUUGGAAGAAAUCCACUCGGGAACCUGCGGCCAUCAUGCUUCCUCAAGGGCAAUCGUCGCCAAAGCAUUCAGAGCUGGUUUCUUCUGGUUGCAGGCCAAUGAAAUGGCAAAAGAUAUGGUCGACCGUUGUGAAUGAUGUCAGUUCUAUUCAAACAAGUCCCACAAACCAACGUCUGCGCUGAAGACAAUUCCUCUUGUUUGGCCAUUCGCCGUGUGGGGAUUAGAUACAGUCGGACCAUUCAGAACAGGCCAAGGAGGAUUCACCCAUCUGCUGGUAGCAGUCGACAAGUUUACCAAGUGGAUUGAAGCCAAGCCCAUCAAGAAGCUUGAUGCCCUUACGGCCAUCAAAUUUAUCAGAGACAUCAUCGCAAGAUACGGGGUUCCGCAUAGCAUAAUCACCGAUAAUGGCACAAACUUUGACUCGGACAGGUUCAAAGGUUUUUGCACAGGCCAAGGUAUCCGAGUGGAUUUUGCAUCCGUGGCGCACCCCCAAACAAACGGGCAAGCAGAGAGGGCGAAUGGACUUAUUCUUCAAGGGCUGAAGCCUCGACUCCUGCGGGAAGUUGGACAUGCCGCCGACGCAUGGGUCACGGAGCUUCCUUCGGUGCUGUGGGGCCUCUGCACAACUCCGAAUAGCUCUACACAGCGAUCCCCGUUCUUCCUCGUUUAUGGAGCAGAGGCAGUCCUUCCGAGUGACUUGCUUCACAACUCUCCACGAGUCGAACUCUUCUCCGAAGCCGAAGCAGAGCAAGCCAGGCAAGACAGAGUGCAUCUUCUAGAAGAAGAGCACGAGAUGGCACUGAUUCGUUCAACAAUUUAUCAACAAGAUCUGCGGCGAUUUCACGCGCGGCACGUUAGGAGCCGCACAUUCCAAGCAAGCGACCUGGUGCUCCGAGUGGAUCAGCAGAGACCACACAAGUUGGCUCCCGCCUGGGAAGGACCCUUCAUCAUCUCUAAGGUGCUGAACAACGGAGCAUAUCGACUCUACAACCUCGACAGGGAAACGGACGAGCCGCGAGCAUGGAAUGGAGAUCUCCUGAAGCGCUUCUAUACAUAACCGCCGACGGAGACAAUGAAAAGAACAAGUAUCAUUGAAGUAAUACAAAGCAGAUUGAUUUCUUGCCGAUUCAAAAUUCUUCCGCGUUUGCAGACUCCGGUUUAAAAAAAACUAACUCCGAGUGUGCACUAAAAGUCACACUCGGGGACUUAGCUGCGACCCAGAGUCGCCUAAGUACAAACUCGCUCCGAGUGUGCACUAAAAGUCGCACUCGGAGACUUAGCUGCGAACCAGAGUCGCCUAUGUACAAACUCGCUCCGAGUGUGCGCUAAAAGUCACACUCGGGGACUUAGCUGCGACCCAGAGUCGCCUAAGUACAAACACGCUCCGAGUGUGCACUAAAAGUCACACUCGGAGACUUAGCUGCGACCCAGAGUCGCCUAAGUAAAAACCCGCUCCGAGUGCGCACUAAAAGUCACACUCGGAGACUUAGCUACGACCCAGAGUCACCUAAGUAAAAAGCUUCCUCCGAGGGUAUACUCGAGAUACACUCGGAGGCUUAGCAGACCCUCAUUGAGACUCAUGUGGAUGUGAAGACAACUGACAACUACAUGAGUAACAACUCAGUCCGAGUGUGCACGAAAAUUCACACUCGGGGGCUUAGAUGCGACUCAGAGUCGCCUAAGUAAAAAAGCUUCCUCCGAGUGUAUACUCGAGAUACACUCGGAGGCUUAGCAGACCCUCAUUGAGGUGUUGGGGAACGUCGCACGGGAAACAAAAAAAUUCCUACGCGCACGAAGACCCAUCAUGGUGAUGUCCAUCUACGAGAGGGGAUGAGUGAUCUACGUACCCUUGUAGACCGUACAGCAGAAGCGUUAGUGAACGCGUUUUAUGUAGUGGAACGUCCUCACGUCCCUCGAUCCGCCCCGCGAACAAUCCCGCGAUCAGUCCCACGAUCUAGUACCGAACGGACCGCACCUCCGCGUUCAGCACACGUACAGCUCGACGAUGAUCUCGCCUUCUUGAUCCAGCAAGAGAGACGGAGAGGUAGAAGAGUUCUCCGGCAGCGUGACGGCGCUCUGGAGGUUGGUGAUGAUCUCGUCUCAGCAGGGCUCCGCCCGAGCUCCGCAGAAACGCGAUCUAGAGGAAAAACCGUGGAGGUAUGUGGUCGGGCUGCCGUGGAAAAAUCGUCUCAAACCAGCCCUAAAACCUCUAUAUAUAGGUGGGAAAGGGGGGGCCUUGCCUUGGGGCUCAAGGAGCCCCAAGGGGGUCGGCCGAGCCAAGGGGGGAAGGUCUCCCCCCCCAAACCGAGUUGGACUUGGUUUGGUGGGUGGGAGUCCUUCCUUCCCUUCCCGCCUCCUCCUUUUUUUGCUUUCUCUUUGAUUUUUCCUUCCAAUGCGCAUAGGGCCCUUUUGGGCUGUCCCACCAGCCCACUAAGGGCUGGUGCGCCACCCUCAAGGCCUAUGGGCUUCCCCGGGGUGGGUUGCCCCCUCCCGGUGAACUCCCGGAACCCAUUCGUCAUUCCCGGUACAUUCCCGGUAACUCCGAAAACCUUCCGGUAAUCAAAUGAGGUCAUCCUAUAUAUCAAUAUUCGUUUCCGGACCAUUCUGGAAACCCUCGUGACGUCCGUGAUCUCAUCCGGGACUCCGAACAACAUUCGGUAACCAACCAUAUAACUCAAAUACGCAUAAAACAACGUCGAACCUUAAGUGUGCAGAUCCUGCGGGUUCGAGAACUAUGUAGACAUGACCCGAGAGACUCCUCGGUCAAUAUACAAUAGCGGGACCUGGAUGCCCAUAUUGGAUCCUACAUAUUCUACGAAGAACUUAUCGUUUGAACCUCAGUGUCAAGGAUUCAUACAAUCCCGUAUGUCAUUCCCUUUGUCCUUCGGUAUGUUACUUGUCCGAGAUUCGAUCGUNNNNNNNNNNGUUCGAGAACUAUGUAGACAUGACCCGAGGGACUCCUCGGUCAAUAUCCAAUAGCGGGACCUAGAUGCCCAUAUUGGAUCCUACAUAUUCUACAAAGAUCUUAUCGUUUGAACCUCAGUGCCAAGGACUCGUAUAAUCCCGUAUGUCAUUCCCUUUGUCCUUCGGUAUGUUACUUGCCCGAGAUUCGAUCGUCAGUAUCCGCAUACCUAUUUCAAUCUCGUUUACCGGCAAGUCUCUUUACUCGUUCCGUAAUACAAGAUCCCGCAACUUACACUAAGUCACAUUGCUUGCAAGGCUUGUGUGUGAUGUGGUAUUACCGAGUGGGCCCCGAGAUACCUCUCCGUCAUACAGAGUGACAAAUCUCAGUAUUGAUCCAUACUAACUCAACGGACACCUUCGGAGAUACCCAUAGAGCAUCUUUAUAGCCACCCAGUUACGUUGUGAUGUCUGAUACACACAAAGUAUUCCUCCGGUGUCAGUGAGUUAUAUGAUCUCAUGGUCAUAGGAAUAAAUACUUGACACGCAGAAAACAGUAGCAACAAAGUGACACGAUCAACAUGCUACGUCUAUUAGUUUGGGUCUAGUCCAUUACAUGAUUCUCCCAAUGAUGUGAUCCAGUUAUCAAGCAACAACGCCUUGUACAUAGUCAGAAGACCCUGACUAUCCUUGAUCAACUGGCCAGCCAACUAGAGGCUUGCUAGGGACAGUGUUUUGUCUAUGUAUCCAUACAUGUAUCUAAGUCUUCAUUCAAUACAAUUAUAGCAUGGAUAAUAAACGAUUAUCUUGAUACAAGAAUUAUAAUAAUAACUAUAUUUAUUAUUGCCUCUAGGGCAUAAUUCCAACAUGAGGCUCAUGUGGAUGUGAAGACAACUCACAACUACAUGAGUAACAACUCGCUCCGAGUGCGCACUAACAGUCACACUCGGGGACUUAGCCGCGACCCAGAGUCGCCUAAGUAACAACUCGCUCCGAGUGCGCACUAACAGUCACACUCGAAGACUUAGCCGCGACCGAGAGUCGCCUAAGUAAAAGCUCGCUCCGAGUUUGCACUCCGAGGCUUAGAAGACCCUCAUUGCGGCUCAUGUGGAUGUGAAGACAACUGACAACUACAUGCUCUGCAUGUUUUCCAUUGGCUUCACCAAGAGACGCCAAACAAAAACCACGAGCCAAAAUCGUGUCAAAAAAAACUCAGCGAAAGAAGAGCAAAAGAUCCGAUUUGAAUUCAAAGUUGGAUCUACGAUCAGUCGGCUUAGUGUGAAUCAAGUUUAUCCACACCGAACCACGAAUGUGACGGCCAACAGCAGUGGCCAAAGUUUAAUACAGAUACCACUCGGCAUACCGAGGUAAAUGUGCGUUCACCAUAAAGUUUUUUCAAGCGUCGCCGAGACUGGCAGUUUCCACAAAGGUGUCGAGGUCAAUUCGGUCUGCAAUGCGAGUGGGUGUGUCGAGGAAGGUCUCCAUGAAAUCUUCGAAUCGAAGCUUCUUGGUGUUGGCGACCUGCAACGUCUUCAGCUUUUCUUCGCGGGCUUCCUUGCAGUGCACUCGGACCAGAGAUAGCGCCACGUCCGCACCACAACGAGCGGCAGACUUCUUCCAUGCAUGCACUCUGCUUGGGACGUCCUCCAGCUGAGUCAUCAACCCAUCUAUUUCUUUCCGGGAGUCGUCUUCAGGCCACAGCUCCUUGUCGAUCCGGCCGACAACUUUUCUCAGGCGGCCAAUGAAAGGGCCCACCCUGUUAAGGCGAGAAUGCGCUCGGAGCAUGUCCCGGUUAGCUUCAUCGCCGAGUGGAACAUUCGGAACAAGCGACCGCUCAAUUUUGGCCGCUUCAGCCUCAACGUCCCGACAGAAGUCUACAAAGAAAAGACAAGCAGAAAGUAAGCGCGGAGUGAACUCCAAAGUCAAGAAGCACUCGGCAACAACUUACCACCAAGCAGUGCGACCAUCUUCCUCGCCCAGUCGCUGAUGUAGUUCUCUUGCGCCAUGCACCGAGUGUUCAUCACCUUCAGCUGGCCUAUCCAUUCGGAUCUCUCCCUCUUCACUUUUUCAACUUCGGCUAGCAAUGCCUUGUUGGUCUCCCGAGACUCCUCCAAAGAUUUCUCUCGGUCAGCAAGAGCCUCCUUCACGCCAGCCAGGUCAUUCAAAGCCACCUCCAAGUCCGCAGCAAGCUGAGUCUUCUCAGCCUUCAGAGCAUUGUACGUAGAUCCCAUUUCGCAAGUCUUCUGCCAAAGAGACACAAAGGGAGGAUCAGCCACAUUCAACAAGGAAAAAGUCUCGACGGAUACGACAAAACAAUCAAAGAUCAAAAUUCUUCAGACCCCUGCCGAUGCAAGCAAUCGACAGCGGUCUCGGGGACUACACCCAGUGGGUUCACUGAGAGUGACCCCACUGGUAUGAAGCUCGAACAGGUCGGCCCUAUCGAGCUCCAUAGCAAACAAACAACACUAUGGGAUUACUAUUACUCAACCCGAGUAACACUACUCUCGGGGACUACACCCAGUGGGUGCACUCGGAGUGCCCCCACUGGUACCAUUCGGGCAGAUCAGCUCUGAUCUAUUCAGAUUAUGAAAAAUACAUAUAAAGACAACUGCCAGUGCAAGCACUCGGCAGAAGUCUCGGGGACUACACCCACUGGGUUCACUCGGAGUGAACCCAUUGCAAAAUCAUCCUACUGUAUCCGAGUAUAUCGCUGAAACCCCCAGUGGGUACCAAGAGGAAUGUAAACACUUACUAGCGCACUUACUCGGAUGUCAUCCCAAAGCUCCAAGCUGUUCUUAUACAGAGACGCGAUGGAGUCAUACGCCCCCUUGGCGUCAUCCACCAUCAGCUCCACCUGCACCAUGGCGUCCUUGGCGGCCCCCACCUGGUCUUCCGGGAGGCGUCGGGCGUCAUAUUGAACAGCUGACGGACCUGGCGCGACAGAAGACUCCCUGGGCAUCCCGAGCUCCGCUCCAGUCGGUUCCGCCAUGAGGGGCACCGUCUCAGUCAGCGGCACCGUCUCAGUCGGCGGCACGUUCAUGGUGGGAGCGGCAGUAGAUGGGAUAACCCCAGGGACAGGCGCCAAAGCUGGCUCCGACCCCCUUUAGUCGUCGUCCUCCAGAUGGAUCACCUCCGAAGGAAGCCCGACUAAACAAAAUGAAAAUUACAGAAAAAGGUCAAGAUCAAAGACAGCACUCGCGAAACAAUAAUACAGCUCUCGGAGUCGUGACAACGUACCUUGCUGGGACGUGGCGGCAUUAUCCGUGUCCAUGGGAUCAUCGUCCUGGCACGGCAGAGAGGUGGCGGAGGUAGCAGCUCUGUUGAGUGAAAUCCACUCGACGGAUAAGCAUGAGUUUCCAAAAAGAGGAGUUCAAUCGGAUACUGAAGGGAGAUGGAAGAACAAGACACUUACGCUGAGGCGACCGGAACAACGAUCCUCAUCCGAGGCAAAGCUUUUCGAGGCUUAGGCCCACUAGGUUUGGCCACCUUGGACGGCUGGUUCACGGGCUCGGCAGCAGCGUCCCUGAUCCUCUUCACACUCCGAGCACUCGGAGCCAUGGGAGGAGUUGGCGGAGCACUCGGGGCCGCUGGAGGAGCCGACGGAGCAGCAGGGUCAUGACGGCGCUUGGUUCGGUGCUCUGGUGGUGAGGGUGGUGAGCUCUGCUCCCCAUCCUCCUCCUCCUCCUCUUCCGUCUCCUCCUCCGUCCCCUCACUGUCGGAGACGUACUCGGCGCUAUCCGUGCUGCCCUCCUCUUCCUCGGCUGGAUUCCCGUUCGAGACUGCAGAAUGCCAGUUAGUCCACUCCUGCAUAAAACACAGUCGGCAACAUCAGUUAGCGGGACAAGAAAAUCAGUAAAUAUAAGAAGAUUAAAAGGACUCGACAAGAUGUGCUCACCUCAUUCGGAGGAGGAUUUUCGGCGCGGAAGGGCUUCACCCGACGGGCUCCCACGGGGUUAUCACACGCGCCUGUGAUGCAGCGGACCCACGCACUCACAGUCUCCCCGCUCACGUCCUCUGGAUGAGACCGAGUGGAAUCCGAAGGCCCCGCGUAGUGCCACAUGGCGUGGUGUCGGGCCUGCAGCGGCUGGAUGCGCCGACCUAGAAAAGUCUCCAACAGGUCCGUGCCGGUGACUCCCUUACAGACACGGCUAUCAGCGCGUCGACCAAAGGCUGGAUCUGAAUCCUUUCCCCCUUAGAGAGCGCAAGCUUCCUGGGAGGGCUCGGACGGUCUAAGCUAAAAGGUGGCAACCCACUCGAAGCAUUCGGACAAGCAAUGUCCUGGGAAUAGAACCAGGACGAUUGCCAGUUCCUAACUGACUCAGACAGCUGGAGGGAGGGAUAGCUACUCUUUGUUUUCUUCUGGAAGCCUAAGCCCCCGCGGAGCUGGAGGAUAUGGGUCUUAUCGUCAGACUGGCUAAGCUUUUUGACGGUUUGGGAUCUAGCGGAGAAGACAUACUUAAAGAGCCCCCAGUGGGGGGGACAUCCAAUGAAGCACUCGCACAGGGUGACGAAUGCAGCAAGGUGGGCUAUUGCGUUUGGAGGAAAGUGAUGGAGCUGCGCCCCGAAGUAAGUCAUGAUACCUCGGAAGAAAGGAUGGGGAGGCAAGGAGAAGCCUCUGAACACAUGGCUGAGCAGCAGAACGCGCUCCCCCUCCUUCGGCGCCGGCUCCGUCUCGCCUUCCGGCAGCNNNNNNNNNNNNNNNNNNNNNNNNNNNNNNNNNNNNNNNNNNNNNNNNNNNNNNNNNNNNNNNNNNNNNNNNNNNNNNNNNNNNNNNNNNNNNNNNNNNNGGAUAAAUGCAUCUUCAUAGGAUAUCCAAAACAGUUGGGUACAUCUCCUAUCUCAGAUCCGAAAGCAAAGUGUUUGUUUCUAGAAACGGAUCCUUUCUCGAGGAAAGGUUUCUCUCGAAAGAAUUGAGUGGGAGGGUAGUAGAACUUGAUGAGGUUAUUGAACCAUCACUUCAACUAGUGUGUAGCAGGGCGUAGGAAGUUGUUCCUGUGGCGCCUACACCAAUUGAAGUAGAAGCUGAUGAUGGUGAUCAUUGAGCUUCGAAUCAAGUUACUACAAACCUCGUAGGUCGACAAGGUCGCGUACUGCUGCAGAGUAGUACGGUAACCCUGUCUUGGAGGUCAUGUUGUUGAGCAACAGUGAACCUACGAGUUAUGGAGAAAGCGAUGGUGGGCCCAGAUUCCGACAAAUGGCUGGAAGCCAUGAAAUCCGAGAGAGGAUCCAUGUGUGAAAACAAAGUGUAGACUUUGGUAGAACUACUUGAUGGUCAUAGGACUAUUGAGUAAAAAUGGAUCUUUAAAAGAAGACAGACGAUGAUGGUGAUAAGUCACUAUUAAGAAAAGCUCGACUUGUCGCAAAGAUGUUUUCGAUAAGAUCAAACAGUUGACUAUGAUGAGACUUUCUCACUCGUAGCGAUGCUAAAAGUCUGUUAGAAUUAUGUUAGUUGUUGAUGCAUUAUUUAUGAAAUAUUGCACGUAGGAUGUCAAAACAUUGUUUUCUCGACGGUUUCCUUGAGCAAACAUUGUAUGUGAUACAACCAGAAGGUUUUGUCGAUCCUAAAGAUACUAGCAAGUAUGCAAGCUCCAGUGAUCCUUCAAUGGACUGGUGCAAGCAUCUCGGAGUUGGAAUAUACACUUUGAUGAGAUGAUCAAAGAUUUUGGGUUUGUACAAGGUUUAUGAGAAACUUGUAUUUCCAAAGAAGUGAGUGGGAGCACUAUAGAAUUUCUGAUAGGUAUAUGUGGUUGACAUAUUGUGGAUCAGAAGUAAUGUAGAAUUUCUGUAAAGCAUACAAGGUUGUUUGAAAGAAGUUUUUCAAAGGACUACCUGGAUUACGCUACUUGAACGUUGAGCAUCAAAGAUCUAUGGAGAUAGAUCGAAAGCGCUUAAUGGAAGUUUCAACAAGAUGCAUGCCUUGACAAGUUUUGAAGGAGUUCAAAAUAGAUCAACAAAGAAGGAGUUCUUGGUUGCGUUGUAAGGUGUGAAUUUGAGUAAGACUCAAAACCCGACCACGGCAGAAUAAAGAGAAUAGACGAAGGUCGACUUCUAUGCCUUAGCCGUAGAAUCUAAAGUAUGCCAUGCUGUGUACCGCACCUGAUGUGUGCCUUGACUCAAAGUCUGUUGAGAGGUACAGAGAGUGAUCCAUGAUUGAAUCACUAGCAGCGGUCAAAAUUUAUCCUUGGUAACAAAUGGACUGAGGAAUUUUUCUCGAUUAUGGAGGUGGUUAAAGAGUUCGUCGUAAAGGGUUACGUUGAUGCAAGCUUUGACACUAAUCUGAAUAACUAUGGGUAGUGAAACGGAUUCAUACAGUAGAGUAGAUAUUUGGAGCAUUUCCGAAUAGCACGUAGUAGCAGCAUCUAUAAGAUGACAUAAAGAUUUGUAAAGAACGCACGGAUCUGAAAGUUUCAGAGCCGUUGACUAAAAAACCUCUCUCACGAGCAAGACGUGAUCAGACCCCAUAACUAUACGGGUGUUGGAUUCGUUGGAAUCACAUGGUGAUGUGAACUAGAUUAUUGACUCUAGUGCAAGUGGGAGANNNNNNNNNNNNNNNNNNNNNNNNNNNNNNNNNNNNNNNNNNNNNNNNNNNNNNNNNNNNNNNNNNNNNNNNNNNNNNNNNNNNNNNNNNNNNNNNNNNNCCGUAGGGUCUGCACACUUAAGGUUCGACGUUGUUUUAUGUGUAUUUGAGUUAUAUGGUUGGUUACCGAAUGUUGUUCGGAGUCCCGGAUGAGAUCACGGACGUCACGAGGGUUUCCAGAAUGGUCGGGAGAUGAAGAUUGAUAUAUAGGAUGACCUCAUUUGAUUACCGGAAGGUUUUCAGAAUUACCGGGAAUGUACCGGGAAUGACGAAUGGGUUCCGGAUGUUCACCGGGGGGGGGGGGGGCAGCCCACCCCGGGGAAGCCCAUAGGCCUUAGGGGUGCCGCACCAGCCCUUAGUGGGCUGGUGGGCAAGCCCAGAGAGGCCCCUGCGCAGGGAGAUAAGAAAAUCAAAGAGAAAAAAAAGGGGAAGUGGGAAGGAAGGGAAGGACUCCACCUUCCAAUCCUAGUUGGACUAGGAUUGGAGGAGGACUCCUCCUCCCCCACUUCGGCCGAACCCCUUGGGGCUCCUUGAGCCCCAAGGCAAGGCCCCUCCCCUCCCACCUAUAUAUACGGAGGUUUUAGGGCUGAUUUGAGACAACUUUUCCACGGCAGCCCAACCACAUACCUCCACGGUUUUUCCUCUAGAUCGCGUUUCUGCGGAGCUCGAGCGGAGCCCUGCUGAGAUUAGAUCACCACCAGAAACCUCCGGAGCGCCGUCACGCUAUCGGAGAACUCAUCUACCUCUCCGUCUCUCUUGCUGGAUCAAGAAGGCCGAGAUCAUCGUCGAGCUGUACGUNNNNNNNNNNNNNNNNNNNNNNNNNNNNNNNNNNNNNNNNNNNNNNNNNNNNNNNNNNNNNNNNNNNNNNNNNNNNNNNNNNNNNNNNNNNNNNNNNNNNGGUAUACUCGAGAUACACUCGGAGGCUUAGCAGACCCUCAUUGAGACUCAUGUGGAUGUGAAGACAACUGACAACUACAUGAGUAACAACUCAGUCCGAGUGUGCACGAAAAUUCACACUCGGGGGCUUAGAUGCGACUCAGAGUCGCCUAAGUAAAAAAGCUUCCUCCGAGUGUAUACUCGAGAUACACUCGGAGGCUUAGCAGACCCUCAUUGAGGUGUUGGGGAACGUCGCACGGGAAACAAAAAAAUUCCUACGCGCACGAAGACCCAUCAUGGUGAUGUCCAUCUACGAGAGGGGAUGAGUGAUCUACGUACCCUUGUAGACCGUACAGCAGAAGCGUUAGUGAACGCGUUUUAUGUAGUGGAACGUCCUCACGUCCCUCGAUCCGCCCCGCGAACAAUCCCGCGAUCAGUCCCACGAUCUAGUACCGAACGGACCGCACCUCCGCGUUCAGCACACGUACAGCUCGACGAUGAUCUCGCCUUCUUGAUCCAGCAAGAGAGACGGAGAGGUAGAAGAGUUCUCCGGCAGCGUGACGGCGCUCUGGAGGUUGGUGAUGAUCUCGUCUCAGCAGGGCUCCGCCCGAGCUCCGCAGAAACGCGAUCUAGAGGAAAAACCGUGGAGGUAUGUGGUCGGGCUGCCGUGGAAAAAAUCGUCUCAAACCAGCCCUAAAACCUCUAUAUAUAGGUGGGAAAGGGGGGGCCUUGCCUUGGGGCUCAAGGAGCCCCAAGGGGGUCGGCCGAGCCGAAGGGGGGAAGGUCUCCCCCCCCCAAACCGAGUUGGACUUGGUUUGGUGGGUGGGAGUCCUUCCUUCCCUUCCCGCCUCCUCCUUUUUUUUGCUUUCUCUUUGAUUUUUCCUUCCAAUGCGCAUAGGGCCCUUUUGGGCUGUCCCACCAGCCCACUAAGGGCUGGUGCGCCACCCUCAAGGCCUAUGGGCUUCCCCGGGGUGGGUUGCCCCCCUCCCGGUGAACUCCCGGAACCCAUUCGUCAUUCCCGGUACAUUCCCGGUAACUCCGAAAACCUUCCGGUAAUCAAAUGAGGUCAUCCUAUAUAUCAAUAUUCGUUUCCGGACCAUUCUGGAAACCCUCGUGACGUCCGUGAUCUCAUCCGGGACUCCGAACAACAUUCGGUAACCAACCAUAUAACUCAAAUACGCAUAAAACAACGUCGAACCUUAAGUGUGCAGAUCCUGCGGGUUCGAGAACUAUGUAGACAUGACCCGAGAGACUCCUCGGUCAAUAUACAAUAGCGGGACCUGGAUGCCCAUAUUGGAUCCUACAUAUUCUACGAAGAACUUAUCGUUUGAACCUCAGUGUCAAGGAUUCAUACAAUCCCGUAUGUCAUUCCCUUUGUCCUUCGGUAUGUUACUUGUCCGAGAUUCGAUCGUCAGUAUCCGCAUACCUAUUUCAAUCUCGUUUACCGGCAAGUCUCUUUACUCGUUCCGUAAUACAAGAUCCCGCAACUUACACUAAGUCACAUUGCUUGCAAGGCUUGUGUGUGAUGUUGUAUUACCGAGUGGGCCCCGAGAUACCUCUCCGUCACACGGAGUGACAAAUACCAGUCUUGAUCCAUACUAACUCAACUAACACCUUCGGAGAUACCUGUAGAGCAUCUUUAUAGUCACCCAGUUACGUUGCGACGUUUGAUACACACAAAGUAUUCCUCCGGUGUCAGUGAGUUAUAUGAUCUCAUGGUCAUAGGAACAAAUACUUGACACGCAGAAAACAGUAGCAACAAAAUGACACGAUCAACAUGCUACGUCUAUUAGUUUGGGUCUAUUCCAUCACGUGAUUCUCCUAAUGACGUGAUCCAGUUAUCAAGCAACAACACCUUGUUCAUAAUCAGAAGACACUGACUAUCUUUGAUUAACUGGCUAGCCAACUAGAGGCUUGCUAGGGACAGUGUUUUGUCUAUGUAUCCACACAUGUAAAUGAGUCUUCAUUCAAUACAAUUAUAGCAUGGAUAAUAAACGAUUAUCUUGAUACAAGAAUUAUAAUAAUAACUAUAUUUAUUAUUGCCUCUAGGGCAUAAUUCCAACAUGAGGCUCAUGUGGAUGUGAAGACAACUCACAACUACAUGAGUAACAACUCGCUCCGAGUGCGCACUAACAGUCACACUCGGGGACUUAGCCGCGACCCAGAGUCGCCUAAGUAACAACUCGCUCCGAGUGCGCACUAACAGUCACACUCGAAGACUUAGCCGCGACCGAGAGUCGCCUAAGUAAAAGCUCGCUCCGAGUUUGCACUCCGAGGCUUAGAAGACCCUCAUUGCGGCUCAUGUGGAUGUGAAGACAACUGACAACUACAUGCUCUGCAUGUUUUCCAUUGGCUUCACCAAGAGACGCCAAACAAAAACCACGAGCCAAAAUCGUGUCAAAAAAAACUCAGCGAAAGAAGAGCAAAAGAUCCGAUUUGAAUUCAAAGUUGGAUCUACGAUCAGUCGGCUUAGUGUGAAUCAAGUUUAUCCACACCGAACCACGAAUGUGACGGCCAACAGCAGUGGCCAAAGUUUAAUACAGAUACCACUCGGCAUACCGAGGUAAAUGUGCGUUCACCAUAAAGUUUUUUCAAGCGUCGCCGAGACUGGCAGUUUCCACAAAGGUGUCGAGGUCAAUUCGGUCUGCAAUGCGAGUGGGUGUGUCGAGGAAGGUCUCCAUGAAAUCUUCGAAUCGAAGCUUCUUGGUGUUGGCGACCUGCAACGUCUUCAGCUUUUCUUCGCGGGCUUCCUUGCAGUGCACUCGGACCAGAGAUAGCGCCACGUCCGCACCACAACGAGCGGCAGACUUCUUCCAUGCAUGCACUCUGCUUGGGACGUCCUCCAGCUGAGUCAUCAACCCAUCUAUUUCUUUCCGGGAGUCGUCUUCAGGCCACAGCUCCUUGUCGAUCCGGCCNNNNNNNNNNNNNNNNNNNNNNNNNNNNNNNNNNNNNNNNNNNNNNNNNNNNNNNNNNNNNNNNNNNNNNNNNNNNNNNNNNNNNNNNNNNNNNNNNNNNCGGAGGGGACUCAUCUCCAUCAACAUCUUCAUCAACACCAUCUCCUCUCCAAACCCUAGUUCAUCUCUUGUAACCAAUCUCCGUCUCGCGACUCCGAUUGGUACUUGUAAGGUUGCUAGUAGUGUUGAUUACUCUUUGUAGUUGAUGCUAGUUGGAUUACUUGGUGGAAGAGUUUAUGUUCAGAUCCUUGAUGCUACUCAUUACACCUCUGAUCAUGAUUAUGAUUAUGCUUUGUGAGUAGUUACUUUUGUUCCUGAGGACAUGGGAUAAGUCAUGCUAAUAGUAGUCAUGUGAAUUUGGUAUUCGUUCGGUAUUUUGAUAUGCUGUAUGUUGUCUUUUCCUCUAGUGGUGUUAUGUGAACGUCGACUACAUAACACUUCACCAUAUUUGAGCCUAGAGGAAGGCAUUGGGGAGUAGUAAGUAGAUGAUGGGUUGCUAGAGUGACAGAAGCUUAAACCCCAGUCUAUGCGUUGCUUCGUAAGGGGCUGAUUUGGAUCCACUAGUUUAAUGCUAUGGUUAGAUGUUGUCUUAAUUCUUCUUUCGUAGUUGCGGAUACUUGCGAGAGGGGUUAAUCAUAAGUGGGAUGCUUGUCCAAGUAUGGGCAGUAGCCAAGCGCCGGUCCACCCACAUAUCAAACUAUCAAAGUAACGAACGUGAAUCAUAUGAACAUGAUGAAACUAGCAUGACAGAAAUUCCUGUGUGUCCUCGGGAGCAUUUUUCCUCUUAUAAGACUUUGUUCAGGCUUUUCCCUUGCUACAUGAGGGAUUGGGCCACUUUGCUGCACCGUUUCUACUACUUGUUACUUGUUACUUUUCACCUACUAGGUUUCACUCACUACACCAUCACUUGUUACCGCUAAUUCCAGUGCUUGCAGUUAUUACCUUGCCGAAAACCGUUUAUCAGAGCCUUCUGCUCCUCGUUGGGUUCGACACUCUUACUUAUCGAAAGGACUACGAUUGAUCCCCUAUACUUGUGGGUCAUCAAGACUCUUUUCU